rnacentral:rRNA from 1 species
CACGUAGGGGGCAAGCGUUGUCCGGAUUUAUUGGGCGUAAAGAGCUCGUAGGCGGCUUAGUAAGUCGGGUGUGAAACCUCCAGGCUCAACCUGGAGACGCCACCCGAUACUGCUGUGGCUAGAGUCCGGUAGGGGAGCGUGGAAUUCCUGGUGUAGCGGUGAAAUGCGCAGAUAUCAGGAGGAACACCGGUGGCGAAGGCGGUUCUCUGGGCAUGUCCUGACGCUGAGGAGCGAAAGUGUGGGGAGCGAACAGG